rnacentral:rRNA from 1 species
AUACGAGGGGUCCAAGCGUUGUUCGGAAUUACUGGGCGUAAAGCGGGUGUAGGCGGACUGAUUAGUCGGAUGUGAAAGCCCUGGGCUCAACCCAGGAAGUGCAUUCGAUACUGUCAGUCUUGAGUAUUGGAGAGGGAAGUGGAAUUCCUGGUGUAGCGGUGAAAUGCGUAGAUAUCUGGAGGAACAUCGGUGGCGAAGGCGACUUCCUGGCCAUAUACUGACGCUCAGACCCGAAAGCGUGGGGAGCAAACAGGAUUAGAAACCCGAGUAGUCC